rnacentral:tRNA from 1 species
AAAAACUUAGUUAAAAUAUAACACUAACUUGUCAAGUUAAAAUAAUCGGCCCCCCCCGGUAGUUUUUA